rnacentral:lncRNA from 1 species
AAUUGGGGAGGGUUGGGUCCAAGUGCUAGGAUUCAAUCCUAUUCAAAAGAGGAUUUGCACCCAUUUCAAUUUCCUCCAAAUCCUAAUCUAAUUAGGAUUUAAUUGAACCAUGACUCAAUUGAACUCUUCAAUCCUAAUCCAAUUAGAAGUCUUUUAAUUAAUUAGAUUAAAAUUAAAAUUAAUUAAGACUUAAGAAAAUCCUAAUCUAAUUAGGACUUAUUAAAUUUCAGCCCUAAGACAAUUAGGACUUUAAAAAUCCUACUCCAAAUAGGAUUCUAAUUUAAUUUGAAUCCUAAUCCAAUUAGGACUCCAAGGAUCCUACUCCAAGUAAACUCGUGAUCAAGUCCAAUUAAUUAAAUCCAAUUAAUUAAAUUAAAUUGCAAUUCAAUUGCAAUUAUUCCUUCUUCAACUCACUAACUCUUAGCGGGUUAACCAAUUAUCAACCAAAUUGAUUAUUUGUGAUUCCUAAUCACAAUUCAACCAUCGAUCGGUCAAUACCUCUAAUGUGUGUGACCCCAAAGAUUCUAUUUUGACUGAUACUGAGAUAUAUUGCGAUCUCUAUCACAAUAUCAUUGAAAACUCCUUUCAAUGGGUUGAAACAAUUCCAACUCAACUCACUAGGGAUCGACCAUCAAGAUGGUCCCCGUGAGUCUUACCAUCCACUAGUGACACCUAGCAGUAUGUAGUCGCUACCCAGCAGAAUAGAAUGAUGAACCUCUAGGUGCAGUUAUCGUAUGAUACAGUCCUUCUAUCGUGGAUCUUUACAGAAUGGAGGUCAUAGAUAACUCGUCAAAUCCCGUCGUUUGUCAUAUAUCUAGAUUUAUUCGACUUGAGUUCGAGAGUGGAAAACUCUUUCUUCACUAUAUAUAUUGCCAUGGAUCUCUCCUCAUCUAUCAAGGUCGAUAGAUUCCAUGUAGGUGCAUACCCUACUCCUACAGUGAACCUACUGCAGCCAAUCUACACUACAAGGACCCAUAUGACUAGAGACCAUGUCUAUGUGCAGUCAAACUACAAUAACCUCACUGUGAGUAGCCGAAGUACCGCAGGUCAAAGGACCAGUCACACUACUGCAACAUCAAGCAAGUCACUGACGAGUGAAUAGACAUCCAAGUGACUUCUUGUCUUGGUCACGCUCAGUACUCUUGUUCUCUAACAAGCACCUGCACUCUCACUUCAGUGUCCCUACACUGUGGACUCAAGUCUCGUCCAUCCAUAAGAAAAGCGAUCUGUGCACUGAUCGAAUCGAUCACCGUGCUCGUGAUGAUUCAUUGAUGAGGAGCAUUUAGAAAUUAAUCAUCAAUGAUACAUGGCUCAAAUUCUCAACUCUUGAGAAUAUGUACCAUCGUCUUAUUAAUUUCUUGGACGAUUCAUAGACACAUAAACAAUAUGAAUGAAAAGAAUGCCUAUUUAUUAUUCAAUAAUAAUAAAGUUAAG